rnacentral:rRNA from 1 species
AUUGAACGCUGGCGGCAGGCUGAACAAAUGCAAGUCGAGCGGAGCGGCGGACGGGUGAGUAAUGCCUAGGAAUCUGCCUGGUGGUGGGGGAUAACGUCCGGAAACGGGUGCUACUACCGCAUAAUAUCAGGUGAGCCUAGGUCGGAUUAGCUAGUUGGUGGGGUAAAGGCCUACCAAGGCGAAGAUCCGUAACUGGUCUGAGAGGAUGAUCAGUCACCCUUGAACUGAGACAAGGUCCAGAGUCUUACGUCAGGCAGCAGUGGGCAAUAUGGGGCAAUGAGCAAGAUCCUGAUCCAGCCAUGCCGCUCGUGUGAAGAAUGUCUUCGGAUUGUAAACCACUGAAGUUGGUAGUCGUUACCAACAGAAUAAGCACCGGCUAACUUCGAGCCAGCAGCCGCGGUAAUAC